rnacentral:lncRNA from 1 species
GCGAUUGCAAAUAUUUUGCAAAUUUAAUUAAUAAAUAUGUGUUCUUAAACCUAGGAGUCAAUUAUUAGUAAUUUAUAAAAGAGAAAAAUUGACCAGGUCUGUAAUGUAGACCAACACCACUACUAUUAUCCAUGUUUAAUGCCGACUAAGUUUCAAAUCCGUGGUCGUUUUCGUCUCCCCCAUACUCCAAAAAUCAUCUCUCGUCAAGCUCUAAAUAACCAAACUAACUGAACUUUUUCGUUCAAAAACAAAAUCCUGUGAGAAAUACCAAGAAAAUAAAAUCAUAUGUUCAUAGAACAUAUGUGCUCAACCAUUUGAACUAAGAUAACAUCAAUAUCAACUUCAUUCAAACGUAAAAUUGAUUAAAUAUAUAUGUGAGAUGUUUGUUUUAUCAUUUGAACAAUGUUAUGCGCGCUAGACGGUGUUUUUGUGAACUUAAUUGAUUUAUCUUGUUUUUCUUAUUUAGAAUUUUUUCAUAAUUUUUUCUAUUUUUUUUGAAGCUCCUAACUAGCUAACGGUCAGCCGAAACCGAUGCCAAUGAUCUUCCGAAACAUAUGUCACUAUCGCGUCUUGAACUAUGCUGGGAAGGGGACAGGAGGGGAACAAAGGAAACUUACCUUAAAUCUUCUAUAUCGCCUGCUAAAUUGUGACUUCUUGAUGAAGG